CUAGUUACAUUUCUCUAUCCAUAACUGAGUCAUCCUUGAUGGAGAGACUUAAUAGCGCUUCCGGGUGAAAACCAUGAUUGAAGGGUACCUGCAACAGUCAAUGGAUCUCAAUAAUAUGAAUGCCCAGAUGCUCUUCCGUUGAGGAGCAUGAAGCAUCCAACUCACUUUAUUUACAACCCGUUACAUAGAUUCUUGAAUCUAAAAGGUAUCCUUGACUCCUGAGUGGUAUCUUCAAUUCAACCUUUUGAUUUCACCCGUGAUUUGACCAGAGGAUUGGAUAUUGACAACCAGCCAAUGUUUACUAAUUUCAAAUAGGUGUAGGGAUAGUAUAUGCGCUUUUUAUUUAUUUCCAUCCAGGCAGCUCCUAUUCACCGGUGUAGAGAUAUUUAAUUGUAUAUAGAUUUUAGUUGAGCUCUUGGGCAACUACUCCGCACGCAGUCGAAGCGCUCUGAAAUCUCAGAAAGAGCCCGAUCUCGCGAUAUGAUCAUAUAGAGCGCAGCUGGAGCUCGUAAUAGAAUAACUAGAAAUACGGUAGAAGCUCAGACAUAGCCAGAUCCUCAAAAUGAGCUCCACAGCAGCGCACAAAAGCCAUCAAGGCCUCUUAAGAGUGAACGGUAGCUAUCUGUUCUCUCUGCCAGAUCCUAAAUUAGCCGUAUAGAGAUAGAUGCCUUUAGAUAGAAUUGUUAUACAGCAGGAUGGUAUCCCUUCAAUUGAGAAUCCUCUAUCAGCAGAAGCGUUUGGGUAAUGUAACUCUCACGGCUUGUAAGUCCCUCUACAGUAUUAAAUGGCC
rnacentral:sRNA from 1 species